UCCAUUGAUAUUACCACCAGUUUUCCUUCCACAGAGAACGUCCAUAAGAGUGGUUUUUCCAGCUCCACUAACACCCAUUAAUGCUGUCAGAAUACCAGGUCUAAAUGUGCCAGUAAUGUCAGAAAGCAGCUGAAGCUUCUUCUGUGCAUAACCUCGUUUUCUCAUUUCCAAAGGGGUGUCAACAUAGUACUGCAGAUCCUGAAAUGUUAUCGCAAGGGGCUCAAAAGGUAAAACCAUCCUUCCUUUUUUCGCCCCAGUGUUAGGUAUAGGAUUACCAUCAUUG
rnacentral:misc_RNA from 1 species